AUAGUAAGGUUGGAAAUCGUAUGGAAGCAAUUCUGACGAUAUAUCAUUCAAAUUUCUGCCCUAUCAACUUUGGAUGGUAGUAUAGAGGACUACCAUGGUGAUAACGGGUAACGGAGAAUUAGGGUUGAUUCCGGAGAGGGAGCCUGAGAAAUGGCUACCACUUCUAAGGAGGGCAGCAGGCGCGCAAAAUUACCCCAAUCCUAAUACAGGGAGGUAGUGACAAUAAAUAACAAUGUAGGGAUUCAAAAUCUUUACAAUUGGAAUGAGAACAAUUUAAACCCCUUAACGAGUAACAAUUAGAGGGCAAGUCUGGUGCCAGCAGCCGCGGUAAUUCCAGCUCUAAUAGCGUAUAUUAAAGUUGUUGCAGUUAAAAAGCUCGUAGUUGGAUUUUAGUGGGGAAUUUAGAUGAUUGGUCGGAUAAGAAACUAUUCUUGUACUAGUUAUCACCCACUUUUACUUACUGGUUACUCGACUCUGUACUUUAUUGGAUGGAGUAGUAUCGCAAGGUAUCAUUAAGAGUUAAAUUGCUUGUAAAUGUAGGUUUGAG
rnacentral:rRNA from 1 species